CAGCUGGAGAGAGGUUGCCAGGCAACCCACCGAAGGGGCAAGCAGUCCAUGACUGCGUAAACUCUCAGGUAAAAGGACAGGGGGAG
rnacentral:ncRNA from 1 species